rnacentral:lncRNA from 1 species
GGUACUCACAAAGAUCCUACACAAAAAUCCCCUAGCACCCGUCUUGUCAUAAUGGCGAGACCGAUCCAUCUCGACCGUCUCGUCAUCACGGCAAGACCAGCUCAGCCCGCCUCACCGGCGAGACCAACUCCAUCUCGGGUCGGCCUCAUCUCCACUCCAUAUCACCCUCUAGCUCUCAUGAAGACUCCAUCUUGCCCUCUAGCCCUCAUGGAGACUCCAUAUAGCCCUCAUGGACACUCCAUCUCGCCC